UAUUCGCCCUUGUUCUUCGCAAGAUCCACCUGUCGAUUCAGUGUAGUUUCUAGAGUUAUUUCCCGUUGUAAGUGUCAACAACGAAAAAGAACUCGACCAAAAACGGAGCUGAGGUGCGCCGACGCCUGUGACAAAUAGGACGUUUCUGUAACCUGACGAGAUAAUGGAAUACACAUGAGAGCUUCCAGUUUUUGUCCUGCUUAAGCAAAUCAGAGUGUGCGAUGGGUGACUGUGGAUUACUGUGGAGUGUCAUGUGGGCCGUGAUUCUGAUCGUGUUUGGAUGGCCGAUUGGACUGAUCUGUGCGUUAUUUUAUUGUCUCCUAAGCCCGUGUGCUGCCUGUUGUCAAAGCUGUGCAGAACUGAUAAACUUGCUGGACCGUGGUGUGAAAUUACCCUUGACGUGCUCUCAAAAUAUGGUGACUGGAAAAUCAAUGUGCUAAUUUUUUCCUCGUGUUAUAGACUGUGACGGUUUUAUUUGAAAGGAUGCUUACUUUUAUUAUUAUUAUUUAAAAAAAUAUAUCUAUAGAACUAUCUAAACUCAAUAUGGAAUGUAUUGCAUAAUGGUUGCAAACCAGAGACUCAUACGAGAUGCAUGUACUGGAUGAAAUCAUUUGUAAUUUAAAAGGAUUCUAGAAUGUGUAUUAAUUGACAAGCAGAUGACACCUGCCAUAUAAAAAUUUACACACUCAA